UACGAGGGGUCCAAGCGUUGUUCGGAAUUACUGGGCGUAAAGCGGGUGUAGGCGGCUUUGUAAGUCGGAUGUGAAAGCCCUGGGCUCAACCCAGGAAGUGCAUCCGAUACUGCUUGGCUUGAGUACUGGAGAGGGAAGUGGAAUUCCUGGUGUAGCGGUGAAAUGCGUAGAUAUCAGGAGGAACAUCGGUGGCGAAGGCGGCUUCCUGGCCAUGUACUGACGCUCAGACCCGAAAGCGUGGGGAGCAAACAGG
rnacentral:rRNA from 1 species